CUGCUAUGCCGAACCUCAGGAUGUUGUCAUCAUUGCAUUGCUGGAUCACAGUUUUCAGCUUUGUCCCAUCGUGGGAUUCACCAUCAGUCACAACUACCAUGACUUUUGUAGCACCCGGGCGCCCACCAGAAGCUGGUGACUCAUUUUUACGGCCUGCAGUUGAUGAGAUGGUCAAGACCCCAAAGAGCUAGAGACACAGGAGAAUGAAACCAAUCCUGUCUUCUCUUAUGGACAGUCUCUUUUGAUACAUAUAAAGAAGAUCUCACCAGCUGAUGAAAGCAGCAACUUCAGUACACAGAAAGAGAAGACGAAGGGACAGAUAAAACAGGGAAUGAAGAGAUGGAAGUGGCAAAUGUGAUGAUGGCCAUGUAUAUAUCUGAGGAAAGAGGAGAGAUAACAAUGAGGCUUUUGUCUGAUAACGGGUGAACAAGACGCCUGCAUCAUGAGCAGCGUGGGAAAGGAACAAGGCUGUUUAGGACGUACUGAAUUUGCUAAGUGAGAUGGUACUCCCAAUAAAGAUGCUGAACUUGCCUGAUGACUUUGAAGAGAGAAUUAAAAGAUGAUACAAAGCAAUGGGCAACCCAUACAGGGGUGACACUCACAGCAAGGGCAGUGACAUUAUUUGUAACAGAGAGGGCUGUGGAAGAGAGGGGAAGGGUCUUUGUUCAGUGAACAAAAGCCAAGAGAAGGAGCCAGCGAAGAGACCAGAGUUGUUGACCCAAUAUUGGUGAGGAUCUCAGAAGUUUAUGGUCCUCAGUGAAGACUGGGUUCAUAGUAGUGUGUGUGUGCGUCCUUAUCAAAUGCCGAGAGGAGCUAGGGACAGUGAGGCUUGAGGCAGGAACAUUAGGCUAGCUGAGGCAGAGCCUAUGUUCGCCUAGUGGAAGAGCUACAGGUUUUAAGGAAGAGGUGAGAAGACAACUUGUUUUGAUGGCUUUUGAGAGAAUAAAACCAGAAGAUGGAAAAGGCUGGGGGGCAGGCACAUUUAUUCUCAUUUUUUCAAAAAUGACAGUCAAACAUUUAGCUUACGUACUGAAAAAGAGAAACUGAGGGAGGAAGGGUGUGGGUGCCAUGAAGUUGUAAGGCACGCUCCCUGUGGGUGGCAGCAGGCCCGAUAACUUCAACGUUCAGAUGUUUGUGUAUAAUAUUCCAUGACCUUCACUAAUGUGUACAAAGUACCCUAUCAGUUUUAUUUGUUUAAAGCCAGGAUUAACAAACAGUGAGAGUCUUCCAUUUUAUUGUAUUUUAACCUAAGAUCUUUGAGUUUGACGUAAUUCAUGAAAGAGCAUGUAAAAUCA